UGGCCAGCAGCUACUAACUACUGGGGCUUGCGUCUGCGUCCGUCCUGGUAUCCGUGUGAAUGGCCCGGUACCGUUCUCAGUGCCCGGUGUACACAGCGGCUGACAAGACCGGGAAAGAAGUGAGCAGCUCAACUGUCAUGAACUGGGGUGACAGGGGCAGAAACGGCCUUUAAUUUGCUUCCUCGUUCGCUGAGUUACAGUGAAGAACCGUUUCUUCGGGGACCUUGGCUGCUGGACCUCAGGUCCACAGAUAAACUUUCUCAGAGCCUUGCGGCCCCUGACCCACACGCGCGAGAGCAGGAGGGCGCACCCGAGGUCUCGCGAUAGCCGAGGUGGCCCUUCGGUGACGCCGUAGGCGGGGUCGGCGGGCGCGUUCCUCUGGGCGGGCGGUUUGGGUGCUUGCUUGGACCGGCAGAGGGCGCGGGGGUCCGGGGUUCGGGGCUCGCCCCCGCUCCGGGCAGGCGCGCCUAUGGCGUUUAGAAGGUGACGCUGCGCUCACCGACUUUCUCCGGGGGCGGAGGAAGCACCCAUGAACCCUUCGGCGACCUUCCUCUCCGGGCGCCAGAACAUCGGGUCAGAAGUUGAGAUUUCCACUAUUGAGAAACAACGAAAAGAGCUGCAACUGCUCAUUGGAGAAUUAAAAGAUCGCGAUAAAGAGCUCAAUGAUAUGGUUGCAGUACAUCAGAGACAACUUCUUUCAUGGGAAGAGGAUCGGCAGAAAGUAUUGACUUUGGAAGAACGUUGCAGCAAAUUAGAGGGUGAACUACAUAAAAGAACUGAAAUAAUCAGGUCACUCACCAAGAAGGUAAAAACCCUUGAAUCCAAUCAAAUCGAAUGCCAAACCGUUCUUCAGAAGACUCAGCUACAACUUCAGGAAAUGGUUCAAAAGGCAACCCAUUCCUCUCUCCUCUCUGAAGACCUUGAGGCAAGAAAUGAAAAUCUCAGCAACACAUUAGUGGAACUUUCUGCUCAGGUAGGACAGUUACAAGCUCGAGAACAGGCUCUCACUACAAUGAUAAAGCUAAAGGACAAAGAUAUUAUCGAGGCCGUCAAUCACAUUGCAGACUGCUCAGGAAAAUUUAAACUGUUAGAGCAUGCCUUGCGAGACGCGAAGAUGGUGGAGACUUGUAUUGUGAAAGAAAAGCAAGAUUACAAGCAGAAAUUGAAGACACUUAAAAUUGAAGUCAAUAAACUGAAAGAGGAUCUAAAUGAAAAGACAACAGAAAAUAAUGAACAACGAGAAGAGAUCAUUCGCCUCAAGCAAGAGAAAAGUUGCCUGCAUGAUGAAUUGGUUUUUACUGCAGAGAGAGAAAAAAGGAAAGAUGAGUUACUUGAUAUUGCAAAGUCAAAGCAAGAACGUACCAGUGCAGAACUGCAUAAUCUCAGACAGAUUUAUGUAAAACAACAGAGUGAUCUGCAAUUUCUUAAUCUUAAUGUGGAAAAUUCUCAGGAAUUAAUACAGAUAUAUGACUCAAAGAUGGAGGAAUCAAAGGUUCUGGAGUCCAGCAGAGACAUGUGUUUGUCAGACCUUGAGAAUCACUGCCCAAAAGUCGAUAUUAAGAGGGAGAAAAAUCUGAAGUCAUUGGUUAAAGAUCCAAAAUUUGAGACCACGUUGAUUCAGCAAAAUCAGUCAGACAGGAGCCCAUGUGAUGUGUGCAAAGAGAAGAAACGACAGGGUAGUACUUCAUUUGGGGAAAAAAGUGUAAUUGCUAUCUCAUCUCUGUUUACAAAAGACUUACUGGAGAAGCAAAAGUCUUGGUCUCAGGGAGGAAAAAUGCAGAUCGAACCGGAAAACAAAAGUACAUUGUCCAAGAUCCACGCAAAGUCACCAAAAGGUAAUGGGAUCGGGAUUCAGAAUGAAGAGAAACAACUCUCUGAAACAUCCACGUCGUUAUCUGAUGAGAAACAGUGGCAUGAUGUCAGUGUGUACCUGGGCGUGGCCAGCUGUCCUGGGUCCAGACAACCAGACAAGCUGGAUGUUGAAAGUCAAGAUGACGUAGAAAGGUCCGGACUCUCCUGUUGCCAUAAAAAUGAAACCUGUCUGGGGGAGAGUGACAUGUAUGAAUCCAAGUGCUGCCACCCGAGUGACUUCAUCAUUGAAGCCCCAGGCCACAUGUCUGACAUGGAGUGGAUGAGCAUUUUCAAGCCUUCUAAAGUGCAAAGAAUUGUUCGCCACAAAUCUGUGUGUACUUGUUCAGAAAGUGCUGGUGGAAGGAAAUACAACUCCGCCACGAGUGAGCUAAUUGCCAUCCAGCAUUCCCACUGCGUGGGUCCUUCAAAAUCUGCCACAAGAGAGGAUGAGAAAUUAAUAGAGACAGAGCCCUUUUCUGAUACAAAGAACUCACCUAAGAUUUUGUUACUCAACAAAGAGGCACCAUUGUCCAGUGACAAGGAUGACUUUUCGCCCACAAGCAAGCUUCAGCGUUUGCUGGCAGAGUCUCGCCAGAUGGUUACGGACCUGGAGCUGAGUACUCUGCUCCCCAUCAGCUCUGAGAAUCUCAGCAGCAGUGCCAGAAAUAACUUAGAAGUCUCAGAAGAGUCAGCCCAGAAAAAUACCUUUCUUAGUAAUUGAAGAAAACAAAAGUCAACUUCACUGUUCACUGUGGUCAUAGAAGCCGAUCUCUCAUCCUUGGAAGGCAGGAAGCAGACAUCAAUACCUACUACUUAACCUUGAAAACAAAAAGGGGAUUGUAAUCCUUUGUAAGCAACACUUAAUACCAAAGGGAAGCAGAAACUGAAAGUUAAUUUUUCAACAUCUAUUAUUUUGUUUGUUUUCAAGUUGACCGUUUUCGUGUUGAAGAAGUUUUUUUUUUUUAUGGGCACGGCUCGUCUGUACAGAGGAAGUCUGAGAAAGGUACAGUUGAUUCUGAGCUGUUGGAAACCUAAAAUGUCCCUGGAGAGGCUCAUUUCCAGUCUGAGAAACAAAAUAUGAAAAUUUCUCCUCCUCUUUACGCUAGGUUUGUGGCUACGUGUCAGCUUGCCCAGUGAAAAGAGGAGAACACUAAUGAGAUGCUAACAAGUAGGAAAAUUUCGGGGAACUAAAGAAUGAAAAAAGUCAUAAAUUAUUUGGUGGCUAAAUGUAUUUGAGCUCAUAGGAUUAUCGUAUCUACAAUACCCAUUUUACCCCUCCACGUUAUUGUGAAUUAUAGUACAGACAACUAGUAAAUGGGGAAUCUUAAUACUGUUACAGCUUAUCUAUCUCAGCCUAAGUUAUUUAAGUAUGUGAGCGGUUUCUGUUCUCGGUGUGUUUGAAAGAGUUGUGAGAUAAAACUGAGCAUUUCUAUUUUGUCAUCAGCAUUCUUCCAUCUUAAGAGGAAUGGUACUGUAAUUCGCCUGCCAGAAAUUGUCUCAGCCAUUAGAAGAGACUGGUGUAAGGGUACUUUUAGAAUUUGUGGACAGAUCUUUGAAAUAGAAAUACCCCCAAAGAAAUAAAUUCUGAAUCAGUACAUAAACACUAAUAACAAUUUUACCUAAAAAGUUGUAGUAGAAAAGUGUGGUAUUGAGAGGCUCAGUGGGGUGAAGUUGGUUCAGAUGGUGAACACAUUAAUGUGAAGACACAUUAAUCAGGACCACAGCAGACAAGGUAGGUUAAAAACCAGAGUAGUCUUUGAGAGGAGUUUAUCAAAUGAGGAGGGCACAUUAAUCAGUCCUAUAAAGGAUGAUCACUGGGUUCUUAGCCAAAUGCACACUUAGGACAUCUAACAACAACAAUAACAAAAAAAAAUAAUUUGAGCACACAGUAAAUACUGCUUUGCUGGCCACUGGAGACACAACAGUGAGCAAAACAGACUGAAUCCUUGUUUACAGUGAAGGAGACAGACCUUAAUUAAAUAAUCAUAAAUAGGUCAUGAAAAUCUUGUAAGUGCUUUGAAAUAAAGCUUGGAGCUUCUGUGACAACACACAUCAGGGGCAUAUGUCAAAGGCGGAGGCUUCAGGGAAGGCUUCCCUGAACGAAGAGCUGAAAGAUAAGUAGAUGCUAACCAGCAAACAGGAAGAGGAAGAGCAUUCCUCACAAUGGUAACAGCAUACACAAAGGCCCUGGGGUGGAAAGGAGCAUGAUGCAUUUUCAGACCUGAUGGACUAGGAUGGCACAAGAAGAAGCUGGACAGAGAGGUAGGGCCAGAUCAUACACACGUGUCACUGAGGCAGUGUGGGGAUUGCAGCCCCAUCAUUUCAGUAAACCCAAUGAUGUAAACCCUACUGUUCAUCUUUCUUGGGUUUUCCUCAAAAUGAUGUAUUAUAACCCAAAUCCUUUGCCUUUGUAAGAGCCUUCGGGAAGCAUGAAACUGCCCUGGAGAUACACCAAAAUGGCACCCUGAUUCUGAUGACAUGGAGAAUCUCAGCCAACCAGUGACACAGCCAGUAGUAGAACCAGGUCUCCUGCCUGAAGGUGCUACCAGAGAUGAAUCUCGACAAAUUCAGACUGGGGAGGCUUCUGUCCUCGUGUCCCAGGCUGCUCGUUUUAUAAAACUAAGCCAUAUGUUGAAGUGUACCAAAUUAUGGGGGGUUAUUUACUCACUUUUUCAACCCUGUAUUUCACACAUGUUUAUUGAACAUUGCUAACGUGCCAGGCAUGUAGCAGAGUGCUAACUCUGCUAGGCACUGAGGUUAUAAAAUGGAGUAAGAUAGUGUGGUCCUUGCCCUCCAGGGGUUCAAAAGUUUACAUACAAGCAGAUAAAUUAUAAUUCACAAGAGAUAUUUUAGCAAAGUGCUCUCGGACCCCAGUAAAAAGAGAGGUAGUUGGUUGCUAAUGUUGUCACUGUGGCAGAUGUUCUGAACCCAGAGGGGUCAUUGCCUGGUUUGAAAGAAGAUGCUGUGUUAAGUAUGAAGUUCACAGGAUAACUUCCUUUUGUUCAGUGUGGAAAAAGGAGCCUGAGAAACAUCUGGUCUGGAGCCAGCAAGCCCCUUUACUGUGGUCUUUAUUUGACCACAGCUGUUGACUGGGGUGCUGGGGAUUAAAAAUGAAAUAGUUCAUGUGAAGGAUUUAGCUCAGGGCCUGGCAAAUAAUAAUACUAGCCAUUGUUAUUCUGGUAAAGAGACUUUUCGGGGAUUAGAAUUAGAUAAAGCAUGGUUAAUUUCUUUUUGGUGGAGUCCAAAGAUAGCCUUGUCAAAUUCAGCUUUCAAGUAUCCAGUGUCCGUUUUGGGGCAGGGAGAGAUUAAUCCAUGAAGUUACAGAAAGGGAGACCAGCUUCAGGGUUAUGUAGGCAUCACUGUCCUUCUUCAAGGGGAGUCUUUAGUACCUGUAUCGGGUGAUUUCACACCUAUAUUCUGAGGGGGAAACUGAGGAGAGCCAAAACAAAAUAACAAUUUAAUAGCAUACGCUAGGGAGAACUGUGGUAUAUAUAGAGAGAGAUAUAUUGAUAUAUAUAGAGAGAGAUGUAUAUCUCUCUCUCUAUAUUUUAUUACUUCAUUCUUGUGACGGAUAAUUUAAAAAGCAAGCCAAUAAUAACGUUUUUUAAAGACUCUCACGACCUCCUGUGGCGUCUUUUUUCGAUGCUCUUUGAUGACCCAGCACCACGUCGUGUUCAGAUCUGUCUGCAGGUUGUCCCGGCCCUGCCUGUCCUCUUUCCCUUGCAUUUCCUCGGCUCUGGCAAGGUGUCGGCAUGCGGAGCCUGCAGCCUCCGAAGAUUCAUCCCACAGCCCGCGUUGUUGACAGCCGCUGUUACGUGAGAGAUGCACAAAGGGGACGACGGCUUACUUGUAUGCGUUUUCACACAGAAAUUAAUAAAAGACUUGGGGCGCCUGGGUGGCACAGCGGUUAAGCGUCUGCCUUCGGCUCAGGGCGUGAUCCCAGCGUUGUGGGAUCGGAGCCCCACAUCAGGCUCCUCCGCUAUGAGCCU